CAAUGACUCAUUUUCAUCUGCUCCUAGUAAAAGAAAGGCAUGUCCUACACUACAGUUGUAGUUGACUGUAGUUGACUGUGUCUGGGGCACCCUGUCCUAGGGUGUCCACCCAGUGACUCCAAUGUCAUCCUUUUCAUGGGAUGACAUUACAGUCCCUCAGCAGUAAAAUCACUGGGGAAGAAUACAGAGAUCGUUAAAUGGGGUCCCCAUUUUAAAGACACUCCAGCACAGUGCUGUUUUCCUACUGUGCCCAGUCCCCCUUCCGAGCCCGUUCCUACUCCUCCCUGCUUCUUGCUCCAUCCCUGUCUCCUCUCACUGAGGACACUGGGUUCCUCAUGAGGAGUGGAUCUUCCCCAGGGACUAAGAUACAGGACAUGCAGUGACCGUGUCAUGGAUCCAAGAGGCUUGUGGAUUUGGGGAAACCGAGUGGAUGUCAAGCCUGGCUCCAGAGAGCCCAGGUUCUAGGAGCAGAGAAGAAAUGCUCCCAGCCUGUUUCUAACCAGUCAGCUAUAUUUGCGAAGCAGAUUCUUUUCACAGAAAGAGGGAAACCUAAGUCCCCAUUUAAGCAAGUUGGAAAUAAACUGGUAGUCUGGGGUGAUGACGUUUCACAGGACAGAGCUGCGUAGGCAGGUAGGAGCAGAGGCCGACAGCAUGGCCCCUGACCGGGCCAACCCGCGAUAGUAGCUAACACUUGGAGUGCUUACCGUGUGGCAGUGACUGUCAAAAGCUCAUGAGAUGUGUUAGCUUGUUUCUUCUUCACCAACCACCCCUAUGAGGUAGGUGCUAUCAAUAUGUCCAUUUUACAGAUGGGGAAAUUGAGGUAGACCCUGGCAGAAAGUUGGAAGGCUGGGAUUUGAACCCCAGUAGCAUGGCUGCAGAAUCUGCAAUUUAACCACAGGGCUGCACAUCCAGCUUAAAGCCCACUAGUGAUAGAUAGCUUUUGGACUGGUUUACAGAGGCAGAUUUGGGAUUAGGCCUGGGGUCAAUACCCAGAGCUGAC
rnacentral:lncRNA from 1 species